rnacentral:rRNA from 1 species
CCUACGGGAGGCAGCAGUGGGGAAUAUUGCACAAUGGGGGAAACCCUGAUGCAGCGACGCCGCGUGAGUGAAGAAGUAAUUCGUUAUGUAAAGCUCUAUCAGCAGGGAAGAAAAUGACGGUACCUGAGUAAGAAGCCCCGGCUAACUACGGGCCAGCAGCCGCGGUAAUACGUAGGGGGCAAGCGUUAUCCGGAUUUACUGGGUGUAAAGGGAGCGUAGUCGGCAGUGCAAGUCUGGAGUGAAAGGUGGGGGCUCAACCCCCGGACUGCUCUGGAAACUGUACGGCUGGAGUGCAGGAGAGGUAAGUGGAAUUCCUAGUGUAGCGGUGAAAUGCGUAGAUAUUAGGAGGAACACCAGUGGCGAAGGCGGCUUACUGGACUGUAACUGACGUUGAGGCUCGAAAGCGUGGGGAGCGAACAGGAUUAGAUACCCUUGUAGUC